CUAGUUUACUACGUUAGUGAGGUGCUGAUUGAAUCUAAACAAAGAUAUCCACAUUGGCAGAAGCUCGUGUAUGGGGUGUUCAUGGCAAGCCGGAAGCUCAAACAUUACUUUCUGGGUCACCCAAUCACUGUGGUUAGCUCUGCUCCUUUGGGAGACAUCAUUCAAAACAGAGAAGCUACUGGACGAGUCGCCAAGUGGGCCAUUGAACUUGGGUCUCAUGGGUUGAAGUAUGUGCCACAUACUGCGAUGAAUUCUCAAGCGCUGGUUGACUUUAUUAAUGACUGGACAGAGAUGCAGAUGCCAGAGGAGAAAUCAGACAACACAUAUUGGAUGAUUCACUUUGAUGGGUCCAGACAGUUGGAAGGCUCGGGGGCUGGAGUUUUUUUAACUUCCCCUCGAGGUGACAAGUUUUGUUACGUGUUGCGGUUGAUGUUUCCUUGUACUAACAACGCA
rnacentral:rRNA from 1 species